CAUGCAGGCGGUCGUACGCGUUUUGUGUGACAGCGGGUGGCUUCACUACCCGAGUAUGCGAAAGACGGUAUGACUUGAGGGCUCGAGAGGGACACGGAAUUCCGGGUGGAGUGGUGAAAUGCGUAGAGAUCCGGAGGAACACCGAAGGCGAAGGCAGUGUCCUGGCGAGUUUACCUGACGCUGAGGUGCGAAAGCCAGGGGAGCGAACGGGAUUAGAUACCCCGGUAGUCCUGGCCGUAAACGAUGACCACCAGGUGUGGGAGGUAUCGACCCCUUCCGUGCCGGAGGAAACCCACUAAGUGGUCCGCCUGGGGAGUACGGUCGCAAGAUUAAA
rnacentral:rRNA from 1 species